UUUUUCUCAAUGGGGGAAACCCUGAAGGAGCGACGCCGCGUGGGGGAUGAAGGACUUCGGUUUGUAAACCCCUGUCACUUGGGAACAAAAGUUUCAACCUAAUACGUUGAAACCUGAUAGUACCAGGAGAGGAAGGCACGGCUAACUCUGUGCCAGCAGCCGCGGUAAUACAGAGGAGCCAAGCGUUGUUCGGAUUUAUUGGGCGUAAAGGGUGCGUAGGCGGUCAUACAAGUCGGAUGUGAAAGCCCGGAGCCUAACUCCGGAACGGCAUUCGAAACUGUAUGGCUGGAGAUCUGGAGAGGUGAUCGGAAUUCUCGGUGGAGCAGUGAAAUGCGUAGAUAUCGAGAGGAACACCAGAGGCGAAGGCGGGUCACUAGACAGAAUCUGACGCUGAGGCACGAAG
rnacentral:rRNA from 1 species